CCCCCGCGUGCAACACAGGGGCAGCGAACCUGGCACGAGGCUGCGCAUCUCUCCGUACUGCGAAUCCCGCGCUUGCUCAGGAAAUUGCAAACUACUUGGGCCUGGAACUCGGGAAAAUUAAGA